rnacentral:rRNA from 1 species
AGUGAACGCUGGCGGUAGGCCUAACACAUGCAAGUCGAACGGCAGCACAGUAAGAGCUUGCUCUUACGGGUGGCGAGUGGCGGACGGGUGAGGAAUACAUCGGAAUCUACUUUUUCGUGGGGGAUAACGUAGGGAAACUUACGCUAAUACCGCAUACGACCUACGGGUGAAAGCAGGGGAUCUUCGGACCUUGCGCGAUUGAAUGAGCCGAUGUCGGAUUAGCUAGUUGGCGGGGUAAAGGCCCACCAAGGCGACGAUCCGUAGCUGGUCUGAGAGGAUGAUCAGCCACACUGGAACUGAGACACGGUCCAGACUCCUACGGGAGGCAGCAGGGGGGAAUAUUGGACAAUGGGCGCAAGCCUGAUCCAGCCAUACCGCGUGGGUGAAGAAGGCCUUCGGGUUGUAAAGCCCUUUUGUUGGGAAAGAAAAGCAGCAGGUUAAUACCCCGCUGUUCUGACGGUACCCAAAGAAUAAGCACCGGCUAACUUCGU